GGGGGGGAGUGGGGCCAGCUGAGGAGGACUCCCUGGCAUGGGGAGGGGGCAGCCUUGUGACAGGCACCUGCAUCUACCCCUCCACACGUGAUCAGUCAGACUCUGAUGAGUCAGCCUUCAGGCCACGCCAGGAAACAGAACUGACCACCAAUCAGGAAGAAGGCUGUAGUCUGGGAGCUCAGCCCAAAGUCACCCCAUGUCCCAACUGGCCACCUCUUCUGCACAUCCCUCCGCCCACACUGGUCAUCAGAAUGUCAGCAUGUCCCGUGCCUUGUCCCAAAGCAGAGUCCACUUGAGGGAGAGUUGGCCAGGCUUGGACACUGGCAUCUGGGUGGACACUGGAACAGGUUCCAGGUCCACUCAGCAGCUCUGUGACCUUGGACAGAAAGCUCUUCCCCUGGGUGACUGUUCUCUAUAGGUACUUGGGGAGGCAGCAGCUCUCGAGGAUCGGGCUGAGCCAUGGGAAACACCUUCAAGCAUCUGCCUGGCUCAUGUUCGGGCUCUGUAGAGGUCACGGUCACUCUGUGAUGAGGGUGAGUCGAGGCCCACGCCUGCCACUCUCUCCCCACAGCCAGUCUUGGCCAGCAUGUUGUGAUCCUGCUCCUGCCUGGCCCCCAGUUUUCCGUGUGUGUCCCCCACCCCCGGGCAGCUUCCAGAGGCCUCACUGCUCUGCCUCCUGAUGUCCAUAUAUGGCAGUCUUGGCCCACUGAGGUGGUCCUGUGGAGGGGAGAAAGUGUCCCCCCAAGCAAGACUGCCUUUCUGACAUCCCUUCCAGGCCCAUCGGGUCCUCCCAUUCUCCCUGUUUCAGUUGUCAGCCACGUUCCCUCCAGUGAGCCCCGGGCAUCCUUAGUUCUGAGAUGGGUAGGCUCAGCACAUACCUGGUCAAGUGCCAGCUCCAGUGUUCGGCUGUUUCUCCUCAGGAAGAGACCCUUUUCCAGCAGUGACCAGGGAACCCUGACUUGUCACCUUUGCCUGGAUAGGAUAAUUUACAGAUGUGCUAUACUCUUGCUUCAGAUCCUCCUGGGCUUCAGAGAAGCCCAUCCUGCAGGCCUUUGAUUCCUUACAGCCCAAUCAAGGCACCAUGAGCCAGUUAUCCCCCAGGCUGAGCCCUCUUGGGGACAUGUGACUGCUGGCCACCACUGGCCAUGCCUAAUGAUCUGUUUGGCUGCAGCCUGUCCUGCGGUAAGGAUGGGCUUUCCCUGCCUCUCUUCCAAUCUGACCUGGUGACUCGCCUACACUGCCCAAGGCACAGCUCUCCCACCAGGACACUGACUUCUGCAUCUUUGGUUGGUUGAAGGCAGAGAGCACCUGGUGUUUCGGGUCAUAGACGCUCCAGCCCCUGCUUCCUCCAGCGCUCACUCACCACCUCCUUCCCUGCUGUGCAGGCCCCAGGCCUCCCGGGUAAGGGGAGCUCAGGCGUCUUCUACAAGCCACAUGAGGGUCACUGCAGCAAGAGAGCCAGCACAGUGGAGCACCAGAGCGAGGCUCCAGGGUCUAAAAAUGAGCCCCAGGCCCAGAGACCCGCGCUCACUCCAGCUCAGCUGCCUGCUGGCUGUGUGCCUUGCUCCCAUCCUUCAGCCUCCUCAUGCCCCAAAUGGCUUCCAUAGUCCUCCUCCCUGUCUCAAAGCAGAAUCCGCUCCAGGGUGGGCUCAGCCAGCUCCAGACACUGGCAUCAGCCCUCUAGUUAAGGGCCAGCAGAGAGCUGGCUGCAGCCCAGUGUUUCCUCCGUGUUCCGGGGAUGGUGAACAGAGGCUUUGGGGCCCUCUGGGGCCCUGGCCGUGACAGGCCUGAAAUUAGACUUGGAGUUCCUAAACGGGGGGCUGUGGUAGUCAGAUUUGUACCCCUCCAUGGAGCUUUGAUUUUAAAAAGAAGAAAAAGAUUGCGAGCUCUAGAACUGUAAGAGCCUCAGGAUGUGGCCUCUCGCGGACCCAGAGCUUGCUGGCUCAGCAUCUGGCUGAACAGUCCCCUGCGGCCCCCUGGCCCAUUGCUGGGAAGACACAGCCAUGAUCACGGGGCCAAGGGCUGUUUGGGAAGCGACAUCAGCAGCAGUCAUUGUCAAAGGAGGCAUGUUGUGAGCGGGCCUUUCUGGAUGGCCCCUGGUCCAUCUCCAAAAGACCCAACCAGAGCUUAGGGAGCCAGGGGAGGGGGGGAUUCUGGGGGCAUCUCAAGGCCCAGCCCUACAAGCCCCUAAAAGAAGACCAAUAUGGAAAGGUAAAGUCUACAGACGAGGUGUCAGAGUAGAACAAAGUUGGGAAGGAUGCACUGUGUCCCUUUUUAAUUUGACUUUGAAACCAUGGGACACGUUGUCCUUUGUCUGUGGAGUCAUCACCACAGGGAUACGUCUCCCGUCUUCACACCACAGAUGAGCAUUUUUCCUCAGUCCUGAAUACACCAAUCAUUUCAAGUGAUCAGUGUUUCAGAUGGCAGGUGGUUUGGGCUGGGGAAGGUGGGGUGUGGUGUCUUCUCCCACUGUCUGUAAGCACAGGCCCUCUCCAGGAAGCCAGGGCACCCCUCCCAUGGAGGGUCUUCCAGUGAGUGUAGCCUCUGCUCACGCCGACUCAUGGGGCAGCCUCAGGUCUAGCCAGGGAUGCCCGGAGCCACUAGGCCAGUUCACCUGAGCUGGUCCCUGCAGACCGUGAGAGGCACACUCUUGCUCACCCAAGGUCCACUCUUGCUUACACCCCAACUCCCCCCCCCCCAGCACAGACCUG